rnacentral:rRNA from 1 species
UACGGAGGAUCCAAGCGUUAUCCGGAUUUAUUGGGUUUAAAGGGUGCGUAGGCGGCUUAUUAAGUCAGGGGUGAAAGACGGUGGCUCAACCAUCGCAGUGCCCUUGAUACUGAUGAGCUUGAAUACACUAGAGGUAGGCGGAAUGUGACAAGUAGCGGUGAAAUGCAUAGAUAUGACAUAGAACACCAAUUGCGAAGGCAGCUCACUACACGAAUAUUGACACUGAGGCACGAAAGCGUGGGGAUCAAACAGG